rnacentral:rRNA from 1 species
UUGGGAAUUUUGCGCAAUGGUCGACAGACUGACGCAGCAACGCCGCGUGGAGGACGACGCCUUCAGGGGUGUAAACUCCUUUUCGUGGGGACGAUACUGACGGUACCCGCGGAAGAAGCCUCGGCUAACUACGUGCCAGCAGCCGCGGUAAUACGUAGGAGGCAAGCGUUGUCCGGAUUUACUGGGCGUAAAGCGUUCGUAGGCGGUUUGGUAAGCGCGCCGUGAAAGCGCCUGGCUCAACUGGGCGAGGUCGGUGCGAACUGCCAGACUGGAGGGUCGGCGAGGCAGACGGAAUUCCCGGAGGAGCGGUAACAUGCGUAGAGAUCGGGAGGAGCACCUGUGGCGAAAGCGGUCUGCUGGACGAUGCCUGACGCUGAGGAACGAAAGCGUGGGGAGCGAACUGA